rnacentral:rRNA from 1 species
AUAUUGACCUGAACUCAGUCGAGAUCACCCGCUGAACUUAAGCAUAU